GAAAGUUCCGGCGGUAUGGGAUGGACCCGCGGCCUAUCAGCUUGUUGGUGGGGUAAUGGCCUACCAAGGCGACGACGGGUAGCCGGCCUGAGAGGGUGACCGGCCACACUGGGACUGAGACACGGCCCAGACUCCUACGGGAGGCAGCAGUGGGGAAUAUUGCACAAUGGGCGAAAGCCUGAUGCAGCGACGCCGCGUGAGGGAUGACGGCCUUCGGGUUGUAAACCUCUUUCAGCAGGGACGAAGCGCAAGUGACGGUACCUGCAGAAGAAGCACCGGCUAACUACGUGCCAGCAGCCGCGGUAAUACGUAGGGUGCGAGCGUUGUCCGGAAUUAUUGGGCGUAAAGAGCUCGUAGGCGGUUUGUCGCGUCGGCCGUGAAAACUUGGGGCUUAACUCCAAGCUUGCGGUCGAUACGGGCAGACUUGAGUUCGGCAGGGGAGACUGGAAUUCCUGGUGUAGCGGUGAAAUGCGCAGAUAUCAGGAGGAACACCGGUGGCGAAGGCGGGUCUCUGGGCCGAUACUGACGCUGAGGAGCGAAAGCGUGGGGAGCGAACAGGAUUAGAUACCCUGGUAGUCCACGCCGUAAACGGUGGGUGCUAGGUGUGGGGGGGCUUCCACGCCCUCUGUGCCGCAGCUAACGCAUU
rnacentral:rRNA from 1 species